rnacentral:rRNA from 1 species
GACGUAGGGCGCGAGCGUUGUCCGGAAUCAUUGGGCGUAAAGCGCACGUAGGCGGCCUCAUAAGUCGGAUGUGAAAUCCCUCGGCUCAACCGAGGAAGUGCAUCCGAAACUGCGAGGCUCGAGUAUGGAAGAGGGUCGCAGAAUUCCCGGUGUAGAGGUGAAAUUCGUAGAUAUCGGGAGGAAUACCAGUGGCGAAGGCGGCGACCUGGGCCAAUACUGACGCUGAGGUGCGAAAAGCGUGGGGAGCAAACAGGG